AGAGGAUAAGAUGAAGUAAAAAAAAAUUCACGAGCGGGACGAACCGCAAGUCCGCUCUCCAAGAGCUGGCACAACCCGCUCCACCCGCUCACUCUCAAGCAUCAAACCAGAGCCCCCGGCUUAUUCCGACUUCAACCACCAGCUCUGAUCCCAGUCCUGUGAGAGGCCGCUAAGAGAUGCACAUUGUGUUAAGGACUUUGGAAAACACGAAAGUGAAGAAAUAAUCUCUGCUCUCGAGAAGUGCGCAUCCUAGGAGAUAAUCAACUGAGAAAUAAAUAUGGAAAGUCAGCUUUAAAAAUGUACGGAUAAUUACAGGAGUUGACACAGAUCUCAGCUCUUGAGAAGUCAUUUCUGCAUGGCAACCAAAAACAAUAUUGGCAGUUCCAGGUAAACCCGGUGGUUCUUAGAGUUAAAUUCUGUAAAAUCAGCCUCCCCUCCACCCGCUGCCUUCCCUUAUUCUCUGGGGUCGUAGGUAUGAUCUGUGGAGGCCUGUGGGCAUCACCCAGCAGUGAGGGUAAGUGAAGUAAAGCACCACCAUGGGUCUCCUCUGGGCUGGGCUACCCACUGCUUAAUACUCACCCUACCGCAUCAUGCAUUACUGGUUUCCAUGCAUUGCUCUGUUCCCUCAUGAACCUGACCCCAGUGCUUUGGGGCCAUCAUCCCACCUUCAGCACAUCAGCAGUAUCUCUGCAGGGUGUAAAACUCCCAGCCGCAUUUCCUACACUGCAUGGGGUGUGUGGCAGGCACCCUGUAAGGUACACUUAGACCCACAUUCCCCGACAGCUUACUCAGCGGCCACUACUCUGCCUCAAACUCCAUGCUAGGAGCAGAUCUCUCUAUAUGGCUUCAAAUAUAGACACUGGUAUCUUUGCUCUGGGAUUCUUCCAAAUUUACCUGGACUUUUCCUCUUCCUCCCUUUUUAGGGUCUCCACCAGCUCUCUCGGAUCUAAAUUCCAGUGGUCUUCCCACCAUCUCUCAGCUUGCUCUAUCAACUCUAGGGAAGUUGUUUUUCAUGUAAUCCCUUUCCCAUUUACUGUUUGUGCUAGAACCUUGAGCUUCUAUAGUUAAUUCCUUUCUCUCAAAGCCAUGGAUAUGAGCGUCAAGAGCCUAUUUUGCCAGUCAAAAGUCAAACUCUAAUAUUUCUUUCUCUUUGCAUCCCUACAAUCCUAAUCCUAGCCUCUAACUAGAUGGGGAGAAGAAGAUUGUAUAUAAAAACUGUGGAAGGGGGAAGCACUCCGAUUAACAUUUUAAAACAUGAUCUUACUACAUAUUAACCACCCAUGGUCCCUGUCAUUGAAAAGCUCAUAGUCAAUGGGAAAUUUUCACCAAACAGCAAGUUAAGCCAAUUGACCGGAUCAAAUAUAACCUUCAAAGAUUGACUGUGAUUAGGAAACAUUGGUUUGUAAAGUAACCAUGGAUUUAGCUCUGUCCCUAUCCUAACAUUUGUGGGGCCAUAACAAGAGCACAGAUAGAGGUCCCCGUGUCCUUAUCAGAUAUUCUUGCCUUCUGAUUCUGGUUCUUUCCAACAGUGUAAGGGAGCCUCACCCUCAUUCUAAUGAACACAUCAACCCACUCAUCCAAGACGUCUGUAAGGCCUGGUUUCAAAUCUGCUGUACCAAAAGGUUUUCAUUUUCUCUGGGGCAUUAUCAUUGGAGACCACAUUUAGGUUAAUAGUAUGGCAUGGGAGUUCUGUGGACCAUAAGAUAGUGUAAAUACAAAUCUCAAACCUAAUUGUGAAGGUAGAAAACAAAAACAUUCCACCCAGAAUCCAAAUUGAAACAGACAAGCUUUCUUGUCAGCUCCAUUUAUCAAAAGGUGGAUUUGUUUUUCUAUUCUAGCCUUUUCCUAGGUAUUUACUCUUCUGUGCAUUCAGUCUUUAUGGAAGGGUAGUACUUACUUUCUAUAUUCAUUGUAUUUCCAAGGUUUGUCAGCUUCUUGACCGUCCAGAAGGCCCUUGAUUCCUGCUCAUCCCCAAGUGUGAUCUGCUGGACUCUCAUGAACUCUGUGAGCUCCCAGGAAAUUACUCUUUGAUUAAAUUUAUCAGUCACAUUUCAGUUACUAGCAGCCAGGAGCUCCAUCAUAUCCACCACCAGAAAGGCCUGUUUCCUUCCACUUCGCCCCUCCCCCCAUUCUGCAUCUUGGAAACUUCUAAGUGAGGAAUUCGCCAACUGUUGUUCUUCCCUAUCUUGGGCAGGUCUGAGUGACAUACCUAUGACUGAUGUCUGCCUGGUCUCCUGCCUGGGUGGUAUUCCCAGGCUGUCAGCCAUGGCUCCUUCUUCAAUAGACCAGUCCCUUUGCCAUUGCAGAUGGCCCACGGUCUCUCACUGGAAGUGAUGCCAAUGGUCUGAGGGUGGAACUGGUAGGACAGGCGUCCUAAGACUCUGCACCUACACUGAGCUGAUGAGAAAUGCUAACACCGAUGAUCACUAGAGCUGGAGCGCAGGGCUGCCCCACAGCACCCAACUUAGCCUUGAUAUGGACCUAACAACCUAUGUCAUUACUAAAAGCGCCACAUUCUGAACAAGGCAUUGGACUUUGCCUUUAGAUGAGCUCCGUAAAUUUCACAAAUACCACAAAUGCUCUUCCUCAUCUUCUCCUCAUAGAACACCACCUCCAAGCCUUUGAAGUAGGUGUCAGUGUAUAAUUUGAAAGGCUCAUUAAGGUCAGCAAAACUUAAUGUAGAAUCCUUGUCUGGCCAUUCCAUUGGGGUUCGGACUGCUUCUCACAGGCCUCCAUCAUCUGUCUUCUGAGCAGCACAGAAGUGGAUGGUCCAAGCCUCCAUCGUAGCCUUGCAGGCUCCCGGGCAGACUGUCCGCUGGUGAGAAACCUGGAAUCCUAGCUCAUUCUCUUCAAACUGUCCAAACUCUCCUCUGAACACUACUCCCCAUUUAUUUAGUUCUCUUGGUUGGUGAGCCCUGUUCGCUUAGUGUGGGAAGAAACCUUUCCUGCUCAGAGCUCACUCCCAGCUCAAAUGUCUACCAUUUAUUUCUUAGACGUGCUGGAGAAGUCACACUA